AUAUGUUUUUGUGGGGUGAAGUGGAAAAAUAUUGUAAAUAAAAAAAAAAAAAAAAAAAAAAAAAAAUCUGUUCUUAUCAGUUUAAUAUCUGAUACGUCCCCCAUCCGGGGACUACAUAUUAAAUGGAUUUUUAGAUCACGGAGCUGGAGCCGGGGCUUGCUCCGUCCACUCCAUGCAUCGGCCUGGUAUUGCAGUGUCUCCAGGAACGGUGUGCUUUCC
rnacentral:snRNA from 1 species